GAGUUGCCUGCAACUCCCCCAUCAUUCUAUUGCUCUUACGGGUUUCAGAAAUGAUUUUGAGUGCAAUCAAAGGUAUUUUGAGUGCAAGCUCAGCUUGACACCACCUGAGUGACUGCAGACUUCUGCACUUCCUGAUUGUGAAAUGCACAGCAGCUGAAUUCCAUAGGAGAGGGAUUUCCACAGCCUGGUGUCAUCACACACAAUGCAGAGCCCUUUUUGCUGUGCAGAAGUGAUUUCUAGCAGGGAUACAUGAUCAAAUGGCAGGCCUGAGUGUAUCUGUAGCAGCAAUUACAGUGGAGGCAUCGCUUGUGGCUUUCAUCACAUUCACUUCAUGUCAAAGAAAGCUCUGGAAUAAGACUAGGAAACAGAACUCAAGGAAAAUGACCCCAAGGAAAAUGACCCCAGAAAGAUCCAUCUUUCAAAUCCAAGCAAAUCCCAAACAUCUGCAAGAGAAAUCAACUCGCCCAUAGCGAAAAAUAAAGGAUACUUUGCUUCAAAGAAAAAGUCCAGUACAACUAUUGAACAUCUUUACAAACUUCAAGCUAGGAGAAAGGCUAAACCAGGUCAGGUGAGCAGCAAUGUGAUGACAGUGAUGAUCUGGUGAGGGGAUUUGUCGGAAAGUGGGCUGAAUUUGAGGAUUCCUCGGAGACAAGAGUAGAAGGUAAGCAUGGCACUUGCUUAAGUGCUGAAAAGAGACCAGAUGGGUGACCAGAGGCACAUCUUACCAUCUCAUCCAUCCAAAGUACAAAGAAACUGCUUGUGUAUGGUCUGUGAUCACACAGCUAUUGAGUGAAAUAGAGGAAUUCUUCGAUUUACUAAUAGGAACAAGGAGGCUGUCUUCUCCCCAUCAAAAGAAUUUAUUUAGAAUGGCA